rnacentral:rRNA from 1 species
GAUGAACGCUGGCGGCGUGCUUAAUACAUGCAAGUCGAGCGAACGGACGAGAAGCUUGCUUUUCGGAUGUUAGCGGCGGACGGGUGAGUAACACGUGGAUAACCCACCUAUAUGACGGGGAUAUCUUCGGGAAACCGGAGCUAACACCGGAUAAUAUCUUGAACCGCAUGGUUCAUAGGAAAAAUACGGUCUUGCGGUCAGUUAUAGAUGGAUCCGCGCUGCAUUAGCUAGUUGGUAAGGUAACGGCUUUCCAAGGCAACGAUGCAUAGCCGACCUGAGAGGGUGGUAGGCCACACUGGAGCGGAGACACGGACCAGACUCCUACGGGAGGCAGCAGUAGGGAAUCUUCCGCAAUAGGCGAAAGCCUGACGGAGCAACGCCGCGUGAGUGGUGAAGGUCUUCGGAUCGUAAAACUCUGUUAUUAGGGAAGAACAGAUGUGUAAGUAGCUGUGCACAUCUUGACGGUACCUAAUAAGAAAGCCACGGCUAACUACGUG